rnacentral:rRNA from 1 species
GACGGACCAUCCAAACGUUAUUCGGAAUUACUGGGCUUAAAGGGUGCGUAGGCGGCGCGGAAAGUUCGGUGUGAAAUCCCUCGGCUUAACCGAGGAACUGCAUUGGAAACUAACGGGCUAGAGUUCGAGAGAGGGUAGUGGAAUUCCCAGUGUAGAGGUGAAAUUCGUAGAUAUUGGGAGGAACACCGGUGGCGAAGGCGGCUACCUGGAUCGAUACUGACGCUGAGACACGAAAGCGUGGGGAGCAAACAGG